rnacentral:piRNA from 1 species
UGGCAGAAUUCAACAAUGCCUCAGGGUUGC